GAUGAACGCUGGCGGCGUGCCUAAUACAUGCAAGUCGAGCGAACAGACGAGGAGCUUGCUCCUUUGACGUUAGCGGCGGACGGGUGAGUAACACGUAGGUAACCUACCUAUAAGACUGGGAUAACUUCGGGAAACCAGAGCUAAUACCGGAUAAUAUUUCGAACCGCAUGGUUCGAUAGUGAAAGAUGGCUUUGCUAUCACUUAUAGAUGGACCUGCGCCGUAUUAGCUAGUUGGUAAGGUAACGGCUUACCAAGGCAACGAUACGUAGCCGACCUGAGAGGGUGAUCGGCCACACUGGAACUGAGACACGGUCCAGACUCCUACGGGAGGCAGCAGUAGGGAAUCUUCCGCAAUGGGCGAAAGCCUGACGGAGCAACGCCGCGUGAGUGAUGAAGGUCUUCGGAUCGUAAAACUCUGUUAUUAGGGAAGAACAAACGUGUAAGUAACUGUGCACGUCUUGACGGUACCUAAUCAGAAAGCCACGGCUAACUACGUG
rnacentral:rRNA from 1 species